UACGUAGGUGGCAAGCGUUGUCCGGAUUUACUGGGCGUAAAGAGCGCGCAGGCGGUCGUUCAAGUCGCGUGUGAAAGCCCCCGGCUCAACUGGGGAGGGUCACGCGAUACUGAUCGACUCGAAGGCAGGAGAGGGAAGUGGAAUUCCCGGUGUAGUGGUGAAAUGCGUAGAUAUCGGGAGGAACACCAGUGGCGAAGGCGGCUUCCUGGCCUGUUCUUGACGCUGAGGCGCGAAAGCUAGGGGAGCAAACGGG
rnacentral:rRNA from 1 species